rnacentral:rRNA from 1 species
UAACGGCUGAACCAGCAACUUGGAGGAAUGUAUGGCGAAAGCUGGUUGUGUUAACUAUAAUGCAGCAUUGACUAUGUCGAAUAAAGUUUUAGAUAAAAUUUGAUAAUGACAUUAUCUAUUUAUGUGUUUUGACCAAAUCUCGUGCCAGCAGUCGCGGUAAUACGUGGAAGACUAGUGUUAUUCAUCUUUAAUAGGUUUAAAGGGUACUUAGACGGUAUAUUCAGCCCAAAUAAUAAAAAAUAGGGUACUGAUUAAACUAGAGUUUUAUGGGAGGGGGGUGCGUACUAAUGGAGUAGAGAUGAAAUUUUGUAAUACCCAUAGGGACAGGCAGCGGCGAAAGCAACCCUUUAUGUAAAAACUGACGUUGAAGAACGAAGGCUCAAGACACCAACAGGAUUAGAUACCCCAGCCGUUUGAGCAGACAACGAUGAAUGUCAUAGAUUAGAAAUAUAUUUUUUUUCUAUAAAUGAAAGUGUAAGCAUUCCACCUCAAGAGUAAUGUGGCAACGCAGAAACUGAAAUCAUUAGACCGUUUUUGAAACCAGUAGUGGAGUAUGUUGUUUAAUUUGAUGGUCCUCAAAAAACCUUACCACAAUUUGUAUAAUUUUAAAAAAUUACCAGAGUUGCACGGCUGUUUUAAGUUAAUGUCGUGAGAUUUUGGUUAGUUCCAUAAAUUAACGUAAACCCUUACUUUUUUUUUUAUAUGAAGUAGUUCCCCGCUAUAUAGGAUAUGAUAAUAGGGACUAAGACAAGUCAUCAUGGCCCGAACAUUGU